rnacentral:rRNA from 1 species
UACGUAGGGCGCAAGCGUUGUCCGGAAUUAUUGGGCGUAAAGAGCUCGUAGGCGGUCUGUCGCGUCGGCUGUGAAAACUCGGGGCUCAACCCCGAGCCUGCAGUCGAUACGGGCAGACUUGAGUGCUGUAGGGGAGACUGGAAUUCCUGGUGUAGCGGUGAAAUGCGUAGAUAUUGGGAGGAACACCAGUGGCGAAGGCGGCUACCUGGACCGGAACUGACGCUGAUGCGCGAAAGCCAGGGGAGCAAACGGG